rnacentral:rRNA from 1 species
AAACUCCAGUCAGUGAACUUCGCAGUCUGAAAAACAAGUUAAUAAACUAAAACUUUCAACAACGGAUCUCUUGGUUCUGGCAUCGAUGAAGAACGCAGCGAAAUGCGAUAAGUAAUGUGAAUUGCAGAAUUCAGUGAAUCAUCGAAUCUUUGAACGCACAUUGCGCCCCUUGGUAUUCCGAGGGGCAUGCCUGUUCGAGCGUCAUUU